rnacentral:lncRNA from 1 species
CAUCGUCUAACCUAUAAAAACCCAAUAUCACUGAAAACUACGAAAAGUCACUAAGCCUAACGGUGAACCAACUCGUCCCUGUAGAAUCGUUUUAUUGCCGGAUCGCGACGUGUUUCCUGGCUUGGAUCGUCUCGUCCGAUCAUUUUUCUCAAGUAGACGUCCCCUUGGAAGCAUCGUCCACGAUCAUCCCCUUGUCCCCUUGGCCAAGUACUUGGUAUUCAGACGACGACGUGCCAUCGAAACUCGAGCGGCCUCUGCAAAAGCGAAUCUUCGACAUGGCUUCGGGAAAAUUGUUCAUCUUGUUCGCAAGCUGAUGCAAAUCUAUAAGAGCUUUUGCAAUAACUUCCUGAGACAUAGAUGCAUUUCAUACGGCGAGGAUGUUGACACAAAGUGAUAGAAAGGAUGUUUGCUAGACUCGAAGGGUUAGCCAAGUUGAUAAGGGUAAAGUAAUUGAUACUGACGCUAAAACGUCUGACCGUGAAGUACGUACAAACGGAACAUCCGGCGGAAUUAUAGGAUUAUAUUAAUACGCUCGUUUUACCGGGCCAUGGCUGUUAUUUGCAGUUACCUUCUUCGAUUACCCUGCGUGUAAAUUCAUUCAUUAGGGAUUUGUGGAUCUUUGAAGACUAUUAGAGGGUGGCCAAUCUAAAUUGGCUAAACUAUAAAAUGAAUUUUAAUUAAAUUAUUGAUACAAUUAGUAAUCCAAGAAUUCAGAAGGGUGUCACUAAGUCUAACAAGUGUAAAUGACGGCUGAAUACGACCGUGUGCACGCGAACAAAAGAGUGAAUUUUUAAGGGUGAACAAAGCAUUUAAAGUGAGCAUAUUUAACGAGACUGGAGAAAUUAUUCAUUAUGUAAUUAUCUUGAGAAUCAUUACAAAAAAUAUUUAAAUAUACAUUACAAAUCGA